GAAAACUUGAAAAUUACCGUUGGAUCGAGAAAUGGACGUUCGAGAUUCAUCCAUGUCACCAUGAGUUAAAAUUUAACUCGUAGAUUCACUCAUGAGUUAAAAUUUUACUGGAAAUUAAAUUUUAACUCAUAGUGAUGUGGACGAAUCUCGAACGUCCAGAUCUCGAUCCAACGGUAGUUUUAAAGUUUCC
rnacentral:pre_miRNA from 1 species